rnacentral:rRNA from 1 species
GCGUGGGUGAUGAAGCUCUGAGGAGUGUAAAACCCUGUUAGGAGGGAAGAAACUUCCGCUUUGCGGAAUUGACGGUACCUCCAGAGAAAGCUCCGGCUAACUCCGUGCCAGCAGCCGCGGUAACACGGGGGGAGCAAGCGUUGUCCGGAUUUACUGGGCGUAAAGAGCGUGUAGGCGGGAUAGUACGUCAACUGUGAAAUCUUUCGGCUUAACCGGAAAUGUGCAGUUGAAACUGCUAUCCUUGAGUUCGGAAGAGGGAAGUGGAAUUCCUGGUGUAGCGGUGAAAUGCGU